rnacentral:misc_RNA from 1 species
GGAAGUAAAAGUCGUGACAAGGUCUCCGUUGGUGAACCAGCGGAGGGAUCAUUACCGAGUUUACAACUCCCAAACCCUAUGUGAACCUUACCAAUCGUUGCCUCGGCGGGCCUCGCCCGCCGGGGGUACCAAGCUCUUGUUUUUUCAGCGGUAUUCUCUCUGAGUGGCACAAGCAAAUAAAUUAAAACUUUCAACAACAGAUCUCUUGGUUCUG